GAUACCUGCGUGGGGUAGGACCCGCGAGGAAGAGGGUCUGGCCUUUCAGUUCCAUAGAUAUAGUGAGCACCUGCCAUCACAGGAUCUGGGCACGCCAUGGAACAGAAGGACAAAAAGACAACAUCUCUGCCCUCCCCUGAAUACUGGGGAGACUGAGGCACUGUGAUGGAUAAUAUUGUCAGCUCGAUUGAUAUGAACGAAUGCAAAGUAUUGUUCCUGGGUGUGUCUGUGAGGGUGUUGCCAAGGAGAUUAACAGUGGACUGGGAGAGGCGGACCAGCCCUCAGUCUGGGUGGGCACCAUCUCAUCAGCUGCCAGCAUGGCUAGAAUAAAAGCAGGCAGAAGUUGGAAGGACUUGACUGGCUGAGUCUCCUGGCCUUCACCUUUCUCCCGUGCUAGAUGCUUCCUACCCUCGAACAUCGGACUCCAGGUUCUUCAGCUUUUGGACUCUUAGACCUAUAAAAGUGGUUUGUCAGGGGAUCUCUGGCCUUCGGCCACAGACUGAAGGCUGCACUGUUGGCUUCCCUACUUCUGAGGUUUUGGAACUCGGACUGGCUUCUUUGUUCCUCAGCUUGCAGACAGCCUAUUGUGGGACUUCACCUUGUGAUCAUAUGAGUCAAUACUCCUUAAUAAACUCCCUUUCAUAUAUACAUGUAUCCUAUUAGUCCUGUCCCUCUAGAGAACCCUAAUACAGGCACACUCAGUGACACAGGGCAGAAUGAAUGGGGAAACUCUGACAAAUGUUGAGGGAAGGCAACAUCUUAGCUGGGUCUUAAAGAAUGGGUAGGAAUUUGAGCAGGCACAGCUGGUGGGAGAAAACCAGUGACAGGGCAGAGGCCAGAAAAUGCAAGCAGAGUCAGAAGACAGUCCAGAGUCCAGGGUAGCUGCCCUGCGGGGGGUGUGUCUGUGAGAGAGAUCAAAGUGGUUGUGGUGGGGGCCCCAGUGGAAAUGACAGCAGAAAGGUGAGUUGUGUCUGUUUUGUGAAGGGCCUUGAAUUUAUUCUAAGGCACAGAUGGUGGGAAGUUCUGAGUAGGAGAACCUGCCACUGACCUGAUCCCCUCUGCCUCUGUGGCUGCCUGCCUUUCUUUCUGAUCCUGCCCAGCUUGGAGCUCCUUGAGGGCAGUGGUCUUGCCGUAUUCAUUAUCACAUCCUCAACACUGGGCACAGGGCCUGUCCCAAAGUCAGCUCUCAAUAAAUGUUAGUUUAAUCGAUGGAUGGAUUCCUAGGGCCACCACCUUAGCCUAGGGCCAUAUGAGCUCCUACUUGCAUUAUAUUGCAAUAAUUUAUCAAUUGACCUCACUGCCAACAGUUAUUAUCCUCUCUGGCAAAUGAAUC
rnacentral:lncRNA from 10 species